UACGGAGGGUGCUAGCGUUGUUCGGAAUCACUGGGCGUAAAGCGCGUGUAGGCGGCCCACUAAGUCUGAUGUGAAAGCCCGGGGCUCACCCCCCGGAAGUGCAUUGGAACUGGUGGACUCGAGUCCCGGAGAGGAGAGUGGAAUUCUUGGUGUAGCGGUGAAAUGCGGUAGAAUAUCGAAGAGGAACACCUGAGGUGAAGACGGGUUGCUGGGC
rnacentral:rRNA from 1 species